UGGGGAAUCUUCCGCAAUGGACGAAAGUCUGACGGAGCGACGCCGCGUGAGUGAUGAAGGCCCUUGGGUCGUAAAGCUCUGUCAUCGGGGACGAACGGCUUUAUCAGGAAAUGGGUAGAGAUUGACGGUACCCGAGAAGGAAGCCACGGCUAACUACGUGCCAGCAGCCGCGGUAAUACGUAGGUGGCGAGCGUUGUCCGGAAUUAUUGGGCGUAAAGCGCGCGCAGGUGGGAUCUUAAGUCUGUUCUGAAAGUGCGGAGCUUAACUCCGUGAUGGGAUGGAAACUGGGAUUCUUGAGUAUCGGAGAGGAAAGCGGAAUUCCCCGUGUAGCGGUGAAAUGCGUAGAUAUGGGGAGGAACACCAGUGGCGAAGGCGGCUUUCUGGACGAUGUCUGACACUGAGGCGCGAAAGCCAGGGGAGCGAACG
rnacentral:rRNA from 1 species